AGCGAACGCUGGCGGCAGGCCUAACACAUGCAAGUCGUACGAACCUUUCGGGGUUAGUGGCGGACGGGUGAGUCACACGUGGGAACGUGCCUUUAGGUUCGGAAUAACUCAGGGAAACUUGUGCUAAUACCGAAUGUGCCCUUCGGGGGAAAGAUUUAUCGCCUUUAGAGCGGCCCGCGUCUGAUUAGCUAGUUGGUUGAGGUAAUGGCUCACCAAGGCGACGAUCAGUAGCUGGUCUGAGAGGAUGAUCAGCCACAUUGGGACUGAGACACGGCCCAAACUCCUACGGGAGGCAGCAGUGGGGAAUCUUGCGCAAUGGGCGAAAGCCUGACGCAGCCAUGCCGCGUGAAUGAUGAAGGUCUUAGGAUUGUAAAAUUCUUUCACCGGGGACGAUAAUGACGGUACCCGGAGAAGAAGCCCCGGCUAACUUCGUG
rnacentral:rRNA from 1 species